GACAGAGGUCCCGAGCGUUAGGCGGAAUCACUGGGCUUAAAGCGUGUGUAGGCGGCGGCCUAAGUACCUUGUGAAAUCCCACGGCUCACCCGUGGAACUGCUCGGUAUACUGGGUCGCUUGAGCCACUUAGGGGCUACCGGAACAAAUGGUGGAGCGGUGAAAUGCGUAGAUAUCUGGAGGAACACCGGGUGGCGAAGGCGGCAUCCUGGACCGAUAUUGACGCUGAUGCGCGAAAGCCAGGGGAGCAAAGC
rnacentral:rRNA from 1 species